rnacentral:rRNA from 1 species
AAACUUCAGGGGCCGGGGUGGGCACUCUGCACCCGCCUACCCGCGUGAAGGAUUAAGGCCCUAUGGGUUGUAAUACUUCUUUUGCUUGGGAAGAAAUAGGACAUUUAUGUGCUGUUGACGGUACCUUGCGAAUAAGCACCGGCUAACUCCGUGCCAGCAGCCGCGGUAAUACGGAGGGUGCAAGCGUUAUCCGGAAUCACUGGGUUUAAAGGGUGCGUAGGCGGUUUGAUAAGUCAGAGGUGAAAGCUAGCAGCUUAACUGUUAAAUUGCCUUUGAUACUGUCAGACUUGAAUCAAGUUGAGGUAGGCGGAAUGUGACAUGUAGCGGUGAAAUGCAUAGAUAUGUCAUAGAACACCAAUUGCGUAGGCAGCUUGCUGGGCUUGAAUUGACGCUGAGGCACGAAAGCGUGGGGAUCAAACAGGAUUAGAUACCCUGGUAGUCCACGCCCUAAACGAUGUUAACUCGAUAUUUAUUCUUCGGAGUGAGUGUCCAAGCGAAAGCGUUAAGUUAACCACCUGGGGAGUACGUUCGCAAGAAUGAAACUCAAAGAUU